rnacentral:rRNA from 1 species
GACGAACGCUGGCGGCGUGCUUAACACAUGCAAGUCGAACGGAAAGGCCCUGCUUUUGUGGGGUGCUCGAGUGGCGAACGGGUGAGUAACACGUGAGUAACCUGCCCUUGACUUUGGUAUAACUUCAGGAAACUGGGGCUAAUACCGGAUAUGAGCUCCUGCUGCAUGGUGUGGGUUGGAAAGUUUCGGCGGUUGGGGAUGGACUCGCGGCUUAUCAGCUUGUUGGUGGGGUAGUUGCUUACCAAGGCUUUGACGGGUAGCCGGCCUGAGAGGGUGACCGGCCACAUUGGGACUGAGAUACGGCCCAGACUCCUACGGGAGGCAGCAGUGGGGAAUAUUGCACAAUGGGCGGAAGCCUGAUGCAGCAACGCCGCGUGCGGGAUGACGGCCUUCGGGUUGUAAACCGAUUUCGCCUGUGACGAAGCGUGAGUGACGGUAAUGGGUAAAGAAGCACCGGCUAACUACGUG